GGGGAGCCCGGCACGGAGAACCGGGCCGCGGGGCACCACCGCAGCCGCCCUGUCCCGGGCACCCGUGACCCACACCGGGCACGGCGGGAGCUGCUCCUCCGGGGGACGCUCGGCAGCCCCGGCUCGGCAGCGACCCCGGGAAAGCCCAGAGGGACGGUGAGCCUGGGGUGGGCACUGCCAGCUCUGGGUGAUCCCUGCGGUGGGCACUGCCAGCUCCAGCUCCGGGUGAUCCCUGCGGUGGGCACUGCCAGCUCCAGCUCCGGGUGAUCCCUGCGGUGGGCACUGCCAGCUCCAGCUCUGGGUGACCCUGCGGUGGGCACUGCCAGCUCCGGCUCCGGGUGAUCCCUGCAGUGGGCACUGCCAGCUCCAGCUCUGGGUGAUCCCUGCGGUGGGCACUGCCAGCUCUGGGUGAUCCCUGCGGUGGGCACUGCCAGCUCCGGGUGAUCCCUGCGGUGGGCACUGCCAGCUCCGGCUCUGGGUGAUCCCUGCGGUGGGCACUGCAGCUCUGGGUGAUCCCUGCGGUGGGCACUGCCAGCUCCAGCUCUGGGUGAUCCCUGCGGUGGGCACUGCCAGCUCUGGGUGAUCCCUGCGGUGGGCACUGCCAGCUCCGGCUCUGGGUGAUCCCUGCGGUGGGCACUGCCAGCUCCGGGUGAGCCUGGGGUGGGCACUGCCAGCUCUUGGUGAUCCCUGUGGUGGGCACUGCCAGCUCCGGGUGAUCCCUGCGGUGGGCACUGCCAGUUCCAGCUCUGGGUGAUCCCUGCGGUGGGCACUGCCAGCUCCAGCUCUGGGUGACCCUGCGGUGGGCACUGCCAGCUCCAGCUCUGGGUGACCCUGCGGUGGGCACUGCCAGCCCCGGGAGCGUUUGGGGUGGGUGGGACAUCAAGCACCGCUGGGCAGCACCGGCCGCUGCCGUGCCCGGCGCGAAGGAGCCCCGAGUGGGCGAGGGCAGGGCCGUGUUCCCGGGACACGUCCGGAGCGGGAGGACCCUGGAGCCUCCCUCGCUGGGCCGGCGCUCAGGCCUUCCUGUUUCCAGCUGGUUUUGCGAUCCCGCAUUUCCCAUUCCUCUCCUGCUCUCAGUAAAAAGAUCUGUCUUUUCUUGGA